rnacentral:rRNA from 1 species
GUUUGAUCCUGGCUCAGAACGAACGCUGGCGGCAGGCCUAACACAUGCAAGUCGAGCGCCCCGCAAGGGGAGCGGCGGACGGGUGAGUAACACGUGGGAAUUUUCCUCAAGGUACGGAACAACUCAGGGAAACUUGGGCUAAUACCGUAUGAUGCAGAGAUGCCAAAGAUUUAUCGCCUUGGGAUAAGCCCGCGUCAGAUUAGGUAGUUGGUGGGGUAAUGGCCUACCAAGCCUGUGAUCUGUAGCUGGUCUGAGAGGACGAUCAGCCACAUUGGGACUGAGACACGGCCCAAACUCCUACGGGAGGCAGCAGUGGGGAAUCUUGCGCAAUGGACGAAAGUCUGACGCAGCCAUGCCGCGUGAAUGAUGAAGGUCUUAGGAUUGUAAAGUUCUUUAGCCUGUGACGAUGAUGACGGUAACAGGAGAAUAAGCCCGGCUAACUUCGUG